UACGUAGGUGGCGAGCGUUGUCCGGAUUUACUGGGCGUAAAGAGCGCGCAGGCGGUCGUACAAGUCGCGUGUGAAAGCCCCCGGCUCAACUGGGGAGGGUCACGCGAUACUGUUCGACUCGAAGGCAGGAGAGGGUAGUGGAAUUCCCGGUGUAGUGGUGAAAUGCGUAGAUAUCGGGAGGAACACCAGUGGCGAAGGCGACUACCUGGCCUGUUCUUGACGCUGAGGCGCGAAAGCGAGGGUAGCAAACGGG
rnacentral:rRNA from 1 species